rnacentral:lncRNA from 1 species
UAUUAAAUUAACAGAUUCUUUUACUGAAGUGAAAGUUGAUAUCAGCUUUAAUGUACAGAAUGGCGUGAGAGCAGCUGACCUCAUCAAAGAUUUUACCAAGGUCAGAGAAUUUAGCGUUUAUACAACAAAACUAUUAGAAACGUAAUAGAAAUUGUCUGCUCUAGAUCCUUCCUUGUAGAGACAGAAGAGAUGGAAUUCUACUACACAGUUGAUUCCAUCUGUUUUUAACUUUCAGGAGUUCAGAUUAAGAACCUUUCCUUUAACCCAU